GACAGAGGCCUCGAGCGUUAGGCGGAAUCACUGGGCUUAAAGCGUGUGUAGGCGGAUCGUUAAGUGCCUUGUGAAAUCCCAGGGCUUAACCCUGGAACUGCUCUUUAGACUGCCUGUCUGGAAUUCGGAAGAGGUUGGUGGAACUCCCAGUGUAGAGGUGAAAUUCGCAGAUAUUGGGAAGAACACCGGUGGCGAAGGCGACCAACUGGUCCGACAUUGACACUGAGGCACGAAAGCGUGGGUAGCAAACAGG
rnacentral:rRNA from 1 species